rnacentral:lncRNA from 1 species
UGCUAAAUAACAUUGCUGUAAAUGUAGUUAUUUUGUUGGGCCAUAUGUAUAAAUGCUAUUUGAACCAUCACGUUUUUUACACCAUAAACUAAAUAAAUAUCAGAAUUUUAAAUAGUCUAUUUACUUCGGAGAAUGAAAUGUCACGAUUAUUGUAAUUCAUUAUUUUAUUAAAAUGUAUAUAGUUUCGUGUAACGUAUUGUAUAUAGAUAUAAGAAGAUGUUGUAUGAGUGCCAAUGAGACAACUCUCCAUCCAAGUCAUAAUUCAUAAAAG